CGUAGGUGAACCUGCGGAAGGAUCAUUACUGAAUUUUUAAUGCCUUGGUUGUUGCUGGCCUUUUAGGCAUGUGCACGCCUCGGUUAUUUCCAAAUUCUUUACACCUCUGUGCACUUUACAUGGAUUUGUAUAUUCUCUUAUUGAUGGAUGUUCGAGCUUGCGUUUAACACCGCGAGUUUGACGAAAGUCAAUUGGAGAUUUAAAAUCUGUGGUCUACACAUUUAUACGCUUCAGUUUAAAGAAUGUAAUACUCGCGUUUAACGCAAUUAAUAAUACAACUUUCAGCAACGGAUCUCUUGGCUCUCGCAUCGAUGAAGAACGCAGCGAAAUGCGAUAAGUAAUGUGAAUUGCAGAAUUCAGUGAAUCAUCGAAUCUUUGAACGCACCUUGCGCUCCUUGGUAUUCCGAGGAGCAUGCCUGUUUGAGUGUCAUGGUAUUCUCAAUUCUCUCAACUUUUGUUGUCAGAAUUGGACUUGGAGGUAUGCCGGUGUUCUAACCAACAUCAGCUCCUCUGAAAUGUAUUAGUGUGAAUGUGUUGCACAUUUUUCAGUGUGAUAAUUAUCUGCGCUGUAGAUGUUGCAACAAAAUUUAUAGUUCAUGCUUCUAACCGUCUGUUUACUCAGACAAACUUAUAUACUUUGAAAUCUGACCUCAAAUCAGGUAGGACUACCCGCUGAACUUAAGCAUAUCAAUAAGCGGAGGAAAAGAAACUAACAAGGAUUCCCCUAGUAACUGCGAGUGAAGCGGGAAAAGCUCAAAUUUAAAAUCUGGCAGUCUUUGGCUGUCCGAGUUGUAGUCUG
rnacentral:rRNA from 1 species